GAUGAACGCUGGCGGCGUGCCUAAUACAUGCAAGUCGAGCGAACUGAUUAGGAGCUUGCUCUUCUGACGUUAGCGGCGGACGGGUGAGUAACACGUGGAUAACCUACCUUUAAGAUUGGGAUAACUCCGGGAAACCGGAGCUAAUACCGGAUAAUAUCUUAAACCACAUGAUUCAAUGUUGAAAGAUGGUUUUGCUUUCACUUAUAGAUUGAUCCGCGCCCCCUUAGCUAAUUGGUAAGGUAACGGCUUACCAAGGCAACGAUGCGUAGCCGACCUGAGAGGGUGAGCGGACACACUGGAACUGAGACACGCUCGAGACUCCUACGGGAGGCAGCAGUAGGGAAUCUUGCGAAAUGGGCGAAAGCCUGAGGGAGCAACGCCGCGUGAGUGAUGAAGGUCUUCGGCUCGUAAAACUCUGUUAUUAGGGAAGAAAAAAUGUGUAAGUAAAUAUGCACGUCUUGACGGUACCUAAUCAGAAAGCCACGGCUAACUACGUG
rnacentral:rRNA from 1 species